rnacentral:rRNA from 1 species
AUUGAACGCUGGCGGCAGGCCUAACACAUGCAAGUCGAGCGAGCGGCGGACGGGUGAGUACUGUCUAGGUACCUGCCAGUUGGGGGUGGCUAACGACUGGAAACGGUAGUUAAGACUGCGUACCAUCAGAUGUGGCCCGAUUGGAUUAGCUGGUAGGUGGGGUAAUGGCUCACCUAGGCGACGAUCCCUAGCUGGUCUGAGAGGAUGACCAGCAACACUGGAACUGAGAAACGGUCCAGACUCCUACGGGAGGCAGCAGUGGGGAAUAUUGCACAAUGGGCGCAAGCCUGAUGCAGCCAUGCCGCGUGUGUGAAGAAGGCCUUCGGGUUGUAAAGUACUUUCAGCGGGGAGGCGUUACCCACAGAAGAAGCACCGGCUAACUCCGUGCCAGCAGCCGCGGUAAUUC